AUACCAUGGUGAGGCACUCACGUUGGUACUCCUUGAACCGAUCUCACGCCUCAAACAAAGAUUCAUCCCUCUUUUGCUCAAAGGAUUGGAUUUUGUUUCUAUAUUC
rfam:Spinacia oleracea cultivar SynViroflay scaffold96415.con0002.1, whole genome shotgun sequence.